rnacentral:sRNA from 1 species
UGCAUUUUAUGUGCGCCCUCAUUCAGUGUCUGUUGACAUUUUUAUUCCAAGCAGUUAAGCAAUAUUUCCAUUAACGUGUGGUCGGAUCGGAGUCCAACAAUCUAUAAAUAAAUAGUUGGCUCUACGGACUUAAAAACGCUUCCUUCACCGUGCUACAAAUCUCAUUGGAAAUGGAGAGGACCCUCUGUCAGUGUGCGGCAAAAUCUAUUUCACCAAACACACGCACUGCGGCAGCAGGAGAAUAGCGAGGGCCAGCUAAGCGGACUGCCUGGCAUGCUUAUAGUAAAUACUAUAUGUGCAUUUAUGCUGUAGUUUUCCGAGCGACUGCACAUGGCAAUGCAGCCCAUGCUAAUGCUAAUGCCUCUGCCCCUGUCCCUGCCUCAUGUUUUGUGUGCACAAUCAGCGCGCGCUGGCAGCAGCUGCUGCUGUUGCUGCUAUUACUGUUGUUGCAACAAGGUGUAAACAUGACCAGCGCGUGUCCUAAGGAAGUGGCGCGCACUUGAUGUCUCAUUAUUACAAUGCUUCACACAGGUUAAUGAUGCGCGCUCUGUGCUUGCUUCCGUGUGUCACAAUUAUGCGAGGCAGCUGAGCUUGAAGCGCGGGUCGGCGUCGCGGGGUCGAUUCGUUGACCUCUGCAGCCACUGCCAAAAAGCAACUAUAAAUGCCGGAUUGGGGUGAAGGCAAACAAUUCCAGCUUGGUUUUAUGUGCCAUCAUAAAUGUCAGCAGACGUUGGGCACAAUGUGCGGCAACUAAUUUGAUUUUGAAACUCGGACCAAUUGUGACUAAUGAGUGGCGCACACGUUGCUAAAGCAAACACGGACCAUACAAAUACUACAAAACCCAUCCCAAGUGGAAGAAUGAAAGCCUGCCCCAAAGCCCACAUACCCCACUUUGCCACCUCCCGAGCAGAGCAUUUAAAUUGGUUUUGCUUCUGGCCUUGUGGCCAGCAACAUGAUUUAAGAUAGACACUAAAGCAUUUACACCUGCAGCUGCCACGCCCCUGCGUUCACGUGCUCGACAUAAAGGAAGCACACAGAAGAAAACAAAAAUGCAUAAGCGAUUAUUUGUAGAGUGCGCGUGCUUGGCCGCAGGACAUCAGUGAGCCACAAAACCAGGCCAAAAAAUGGAUUUUAGGAAUCGUUAUCAGCACAUUUCGUGACUAUGGCUAAAAAUAUUGAAGCAGCACAACCAAUACUCUGUUCGUGUGUGGGUGUGCUGGUGUGUGUUUGGGGACAGUUGCAGUUGGGGCUGUGCCAAUUCGUGUUCACGUCGUUAUCCUUGCCCCGGAUGCACAACAAUCAAAAUAAACUGCUGCCAAAUUGACCAUUGACCAAACAUCGUCAACAGCAACAGUAGCCAUCCUAGGCAGCCCCCACGCCGCCUCCUUGGCAUUGUCACGUCCUUGGCAUGGGCCACAAGUCAAAACGAGCAGCAACAACAGCAAAUGGAGAAAAAGACCAAACAUGCAGUUUGGGCAACUUGGCAAUUUUUGUGUAUGCUGCAAUGAUUGGAUAUAGAUAGUUGGACAGCUAGAUAGCUGCUAUAUAAUCGAACAUCGGGUCUUUAGCCAUGGAUAACGCAAAUCGAUUGGCUUUAAGCCAACUCAAAGUUGGGUCAGUUAAACAAACAACAAUUAUGGCCAGGAUGAUAUAUCAUAAUACUUAUGAUGGAAGCAGGAACUCUGGCUAACUUCUGAAUUAUGAUUGAACUCGCAAGAAGCUAGCUUGAGGCACAUUCUCACCUUCAUGCUGCAGUUCCACCUUUUUUACCUGGAAAAGUGGACAAAGGCAGCCGUUUGAGCGUUCUAGAGUGUCCGUUGUUUUUGUUCAUGCGAUUUGCGAUGUAAUUGUGGAAUAAUGAAAUCGCUAAAGAGAUUCCAACUGCAACAUCAAGCAUCACCGGGACGCGUCGUCUGGUCCAUUUAUGGAUUGGCAUUGAUUUAAUACCGCAUCCAUGAGACGAUCUAUGCGCUGGAUGACUCGCAUCCCCAGAGUCCAAGGCGCAAGGCAUUUUGCACCUACCUACAUACAUAUAUCUAGAAAUAUAUCUAUAUGUAUAUACACAUAUGAACAAACGAAGGAACGCACGCAGCUGAUCUGAUUCCUUCGCUGUUUUUUUUUUCUUUAUCAACGCUGCCAGAUCUGCAGAGCAGACGCCACCGAAGUGGGUAUUGGGGAUUGGGGCAACUUGGGGACUGGUCAUUGGAGCGCCUGCAAAAAUGUUUAUUCAAUAAACCCGAUCCGCCAGCUGGCCGUGGCCGUCCAGUGCCUCCGUCUCCACCUCCGCCGUUUGCAGACAUUCCCCAUUCAAGACAAGCCGCUGGAAUUUCUUGGUGCGUGCUUGGCACAGGUUCGGGCUGUGGCCAGGCUCCAGCUUGCAGCAUUUGGCGUCUGCCAGCUGCGCCGUCGCACUGCGUCCGCUGAUUAUGAUAAUGGAGGCGACUCUCGACCACGACUCGCCACUCGCCACUCGCCACUCUCGGCUCACAGCUCACAGCUCGCAGCUCGUCGCCAAUUGCUUUCGUUUAUGAUCGAAUGCUUGGCAGCUCCGUUGACUUUCUGAUUAAUGCAAGAAUUCUACGCAGCGUUCCUUCAGCUACAGCUUCUGUUCAGUGUUUUUUGUUGUUUUUCAGUUGCUGUCCGAUCAGCCUGCAAUUAAAAGCCAUGUACCUUUCGAUAGCCAGCUAAAUGGCAAGUGUGCAAAUCAUUAUAUACACACGAUCAUGCCGCAAAUGCCUGAUGAGCUGUACGAGAGCAGUUCAAGGAG